GGCCACCAGAGGAUUUAAUUUGUCAAUAAGCUGCACGAAUACCCAGGCCACCUCCAUCUGCUGCUGUGACAGAACACAAUUAACAGGAAAAUCCCAGUUCAAUCUUUGGAGACUUAAAGUGCUCACUCAAAUGCACUGAACAAGAGGAAUGCUUCAGCUCCAAUCAGCUCCUGUCUUCUUUGGAAAUGCUGGCCCUGAGGCUCUACGUAAUAACCUGUGAUCAGGAUCCUAGUUAUGUGCUGGAUAGGCAACUGAAGAAGCCUGUCUUUCCACAAUUCAGACAGAGCACAUAAGAAAUGAAAGUAGAAGCAGCUCGAUAAUGUGAUAGUGCCAUUCAUUACUCCUCCAACUGAAAGGAUUCUGCUACCUUGCAGACCGCUGAGGUCAUUUUGUCACUGAAAGCUGAGUGAG